rnacentral:rRNA from 1 species
AGAGAGAGACAUGCGCGCAUAUCAAUAAGCGGAGGAAAAGAAACUAACAGGAUUCCCCUAGUAACGGCGAGUGAAGCGGGAAGAGCUCAAAUUUGAAAUCUUAAAGGGUUUCCCUUUACGAAUUGUAGUUUAAAGAAGUGUUUUCUGUUGAGGUUUUGGUAAAAGUUCUUUGGAAUAGGACAUCAUAGAGGGUGAGAAUCCCGUAUUUGACCUUUACUUUCAACUUUGUGAUACACUUUCAAAGAGUCGGAUUGUUUGGGAAUGCAGUCCAAAAUGGGUGGUAAAUUUCAUCUAAAGCUAAAUAUUGGCGAGAGACCGAUAGCGAACAAGUACCGUGAGGGAAAGAUGAAAAGAACUUUGAAAAGAGAGUUAAACAGUACGUGAAAUUGUCAAAAGGGAAGCGUUUGACACCAGUGUUGUUUUUCUGAAAAUCAAUUAAAGAACUGUUUAUGCUAAGUUGUUUAGACUUUAUCAGCUAACUGUUUAGUUUUGAGCUUUUCUUUAAUGCACUUUUCAGUUAACAAGUCAACAUCAAUUUCUUUUGCUGUAAAAAAGCUUGAGGAAGGUGGCUUGAGAUUCGUCUUAAGUGUUUAUAGCCUCUUGCCUAUGCAGUCGGAGAGAUUGAGGUCUGCAGCGUAGAUCCUUCGGGGCUAAAUGCAUUUGUGCUAAGUUAUAGCAUUUUAUAGACAACUUGUUGACUAUGAUUUGUCUUGUAGCUUACUCGCUUAUGUUAUUUUACCUACGCUUAGGAUGUUGAGCGCAUGUCUCUCUCU